rnacentral:RNase_P_RNA from 1 species
GGAGCAGGCCGGGCGACCGCUGGAAGGUCCGCUGGCCUGUCCGGAGGCCCUCUCCUAGGGAGGGGCCGGAAGGCGGCGGAAGCUUCCAGAGGAAAGUCCGGGCACCACAGGGCAGGGCGCUGGGUAAUACCCAGUGGGGGCGACCCCAAGGAAAGUGCCACAGAAACAUACCGCCGGUCCGGUACUUUCCGCCAUACGCGGAAGCCGCGGGCCGGUAAGGGUGAAAUCGUGCGGUAAGAGCGCACGAGGCUCCGGGUGACCGGAGACCUGGGCAAACCCCGCCCGGUGCAAGGCCACGUAGGGGGAGAUGAGGUGGCCCGCCGAUCCCCGGGUAGGCUGCUUGAGGCGCCCGGCAACGGGCGUCCCAGAGAGAUGGUCGCCGCCUCGAGCCCGCCGUAGGGCGGACGCUCGGGUACAGAACCCGGCUUACAGGCCUGCUCCCGCA